GUGUGAGACAGAGAGAGAGAGUUAGUCAGUCUCUGGUUUGUUUUCUCUCAGAGGAGUCUCUUAACUCCUCCUUUCUGCCAGGACAGUCUUUCAGUUCCCUCCUCCUUCACUUUCUUCUCACAACAGAAUGACUUAUUUCCUCUCUUCACUGCUCCUUUGUUUCUUCUCAGCAGUUUCUCAUGCCUCUCUUGCUUCUAUGCUUCCCAGCAGCUUCUCUUCCUUCUUCUUCUCUCCACCCUAUAGCCUCUCCCAGUCCUCUCUAUACCCGGGUUCUACCUUUUCUGUUCCCACUGGGGUCUCUCAACUCCUCUCUCCUUCUUUUGCUCCUGCCCGCUUUCUCCAAGAAGAAACAAAAGGGGCGGCUGAGUGAGUAUCUCUCGCUCCCUCUGGUCUUUAGACCCCUUUCUCCACCUCCUCCCUUCCCCGUUUCCUUCCUUCCUCUUCUCCUCAGCCCCCACCCCCUCGCUCGCUUUCCCCUCUCCUCUCGCCUGAGUUCCCUCGCUCUCGCUCUCUCGUCUCCCCCUCUCUCCCUCCUUCUCUCUCCCUCCCGGGAGGGGGGAACGGCCCGGGACGGAUCGGGGCUUGUUAUUGUCAAUACAAGGGAGAGAGGGAGCCUAAAGAUGGCGGCACAUCCGGCCGCCAGGCAUUGUGGGAGGCAACCGCCCGGAAACUCGGCUGAGGCCCCCAAAGCAGUGGAAGCCGGAGAGUGGGGGAGGGUCUCUCGUCACCGACAGACCGGAGAACGGGGCGGGGAACAGUCUCCCUGCGGGGCCUUCUCCCCGCUCGCUGGCUAGUUUAACCUGCCACCUUUUAGCACCCCUUCCGCUACCCUCUGACCUACCGGAAGUGAUCAUGGUGCCGGCUGCUCGCGCCGGGUGACGGAACGGGUCGUUAUCCCCUCGCGCUCCGGAGCGUGGGGUACGUCGGACGGCAGGAGGCGUGGUUACAGCCCGACUCCGCGUGGCAGCAGGAGGGGGAGGGGCUGGGUUGGCUCCCUGUAGGAUCCCGUGCCCGCCCACCCCACCGUGGACGGGGUUGGUUUGAUCCUUGUCGGCUGCCGUACCUCCGCCUUGUCGAGUGAGAAGAGGUCCUCAGAAAGACUGCUGGCAGCUAUGUUAUGCUAAAAAAAGAUAACACUAACGUUUCUUGACAGAAAGCAUGGUUUACAGAGAUCUGGAAGAAAUUUUACCGAGUUUUGCUGGAAAUCUUUUUUUGUCUGAAUACUAGAAAUAAAGAGCUCAGACUUAAAACCUUGCAUUUUUUCCAUAUGCAAGAUAUUUUGGAAAUUGCUUUUGAGCCGAUGUGUAAUAGAAUAAGUGUGCAAUUAUGUGGUUACUAAUAGUGUAAUAAGAAAGGUAAAAUAUAAGUGUUGCUUUUAUUACUUUUUAGUCUAGUUAUCAGUUUGCUCUUCCCUGUCUGCUUCUUCAUGUCUCCGAAGCUAUUUGAGAAUUUUAAAUGCUGUAUACUUAGAACUAGGGAUGUAAAAUGCUAUUUCAUUGGUUAACUGAUUAAACAAAUUGUUUAACUGGUUAACUGAGUAAAGGGAGGGGGCGUGCCCCAGCCCAGUUGGGGUGGAGCAGUCUUGCUACCCCAGUGCUGCUUCUCCUCUAGGGAUGUAAGAGAGCAGUCAAAUUCUUGACUACCCGAUAAGCCUAGGCUGACUACUUGCAUUCCCUCCUGCCCCUUGCAGCCUCUGUAUGAGGGGCAUCAAGGGGGGGAAGCAGGAACCAUUGCUGGGAGGAGCUGAUUUAAAAGCCCGUUCCCCCAGCACCGUCUCUCUGGUGAAGCCUUCCCCUCCCCUGUGCGGCUGCCUCUAUCAGGUACAGCAGUGUGUGUGUAGAGGGGGGAAGGAGAGGUUGGCCGCAGUGGGCUCAGGCUCGCAGUGAGCAGAGGCUGCUCCAGCAGCAGUCCCUGUCUGCGAGGGGUAGAGGGUUGGGGGUGGCUGCUGGACCUGAUGUGAAGACUGAGCAAGCUUGGCUCAGUCCCAGUUUGUAGUGGGUUUGGGACCUAUCCUUGCUGCAGCUCUGCAUUUUAAGUGUACAGAUUGAGCCUCUCUAGUUCGGCACCCUUGGGACUUGACCAGUUCUGAACGAGAGGAUUUUCUGGACUACAGGAAGUCAGUAUUGUCUAGCAGCAUUACCAACACUUCCACUGAGAGCUAGGACUGGUGGCUGUAAACAAACUUUAUUGGACUGUGGGAAACUUGGCCACAUCCAUGAAAGGUGGACAUCCAGCUAACUAAAAUCAUUCUGGACAACAGAUGUUUCUGGAUGAGAGAGUACUGGAUUAGAGAGGUUCAACCUGUAGUAAAAUGUGCACCUGGCUCUGACUAUAUUUAAAAUGCAGAGCCAUAGCUGUGGUAGGUCCUGGACCCGGCUCAAGUUGGGACUGAGCUGGGCUGCCUGCGCACCCAGCUCUUACUACAUUUAAACUGCAAAGCUGCAUUGGAAGUAGCUCUUACAUCUGGCGUGAUCUGGGACUGAGCACCUUCCCCUAUAGACUAAUUGUGUAGUCAAUACAAUUACCUGCCUCUUAACAUCCUGACUGUCCUCUCCUCCCCUGCUGCAGACAGCGGCUGCUCUGGACAGGCUGGAGUAGCCCCUGCCUGCAGGUGCCUGGGCCCACUGUGGAUGGGGCUGCCAUGGCAAGUGGGGAGCUGCUCUAGCCCACACUGUUUAACUAGUUAACCUUUCACAUCCCUAUUUAGAACCUGCUAGGUGAUUUCAUUUGGAGUUGAGAGUGCAAAGUAGCUUGCAUGAGGUACUCAGUGUAGCAAUGCCACUGCUAAUUAAGGUGUUAUGCAAGCUAAGAAACAGGGAGUGCCCUGGCUUCGGUGUAAAUCUUCGUGAGAUUAAUAAUGAUGAACAGUUGCAUUACAAAACUUCAUUAUAAAUGCUUUGGAAUUUAUUCAGUCUAUAUGCAAACAUUCCAAUCAUGCAAAAAUUAAAGUAGCCUUGAAGUCUUGGUUUGCAGAUGUGCCUCCAAAGACACUCAUAUGCAGAAAAGAACCUGGGAGAACUGAAAAACAGAGGUGGUGGAUAUCCUGUUUUGGAACCCAGUGAGACCGAAAGAGUUCAUCUUAUCAGAAGACGGGAGAUACUAGUUUCCUGGUGGAAGCCUUUUGUGUGAUCUCUGUGGCCAAAUUAUGCUCUCAGUUUUACUGGUUAUAUAUUUGGGUACACUGAAAUCAUUCCAGGUUUAUGGCUGUGUUAUUGGGGGCAACACUUGGCCUGUUCUUCAUGCUAUUUGCAUAUUGUGUGAAUACAGUAAUUUCUUAACUGUAGCUCUCUAAAAAAGGGUAACCAUAUCUAGCAAGGCUAUGCUUACUAAGAUGUAGCUGUAUUACAGAAAAUAAAUGUCUUCCACAAAGCUCAAAGAAAAUCCUCUUGGAAUAGUUAGUGUCAAAUUUCCCCCUUGUUUAUACUCCAGUGAGAGAAUAACAAGACUAUUUGUAUUGAAUGAGGUCCCUAAUUAUUUUUUUCAAAUGAGACUACAAAUAAUUGCUUUUUAAAUUACUUAUUUAUAUACUUGAGUAUUUAUAUAAUGUUGGAAUUCCUUAAUCUCUCUGAAUUUCAUAUAUUUAUCAUUUCUCCAUGAGUAUGUUUAUUUUACCAUUUGAAUAAAUGUUGCUUUUUAUGCAGGUAUCAUUUUAUACUGUGUAUCAUAGUUAUAAUUUUAUUAAACAUUAGGCCCUAGUAAAUUGUACAGUAUCAAGGUUGGUCAGUUCACUUUGCCUAGAAAAAUAACCUAGCAGUUUGCAUACUCAAUGGGUUUGAUCCUGUUUUCACUGAAGUCUAUGAGAAAUCUACCAUUGGCUUCUAUAGGAGCAGGAUUGGAGCUCAUCUGUACGUUUUCCUUUUUCUAUCAGCUGUAUAAAGAACAAAAGCAUUUAUGUCUAGUCUGACCCAAUAAAAUAUUGAUGGAUACUUAAA